rnacentral:sRNA from 1 species
GUGCACCCAGCCCCAGCCGUCCUGUCCUGGCCGCUCGCUCUGCUUCGCUGCGCCGCCACUAUGCUCUCCCUCCGUGUCCCGCUCGCGCCCAUCACGGACCCGCAGCAGCUGCAGCUCUCGCCGCUGAAGGGGCUCAGCUUGGUCGACAAGGAGAACACGCCGCCGGCCCUGAGCGGGACCCGCGUCCUGGCCAGCAAGACCGCGAGGAGGAUCUUCCAGGAGCCCGCGGAGCCGAAAAGUAAAGCAGCUGCCCCCGGCGUGGAGGAUGAGCCGCUGCUGAGAGAAAACCCCCGCCGCUUUGUCAUCUUCCCCAUCGAGUACCAUGAUAUCUGGCAGAUGUAUAAGAAGGCAGAGGCUUCCUUCUGGACCGCCGAGGAGGUAAUCGGAGGACCCCAGAAGACCCCUGCAGGGGUGACCGUGACGCCUCAGACAUAAAUGCACUUGGAGGUUCCCGUUGGCAAGGGGGGCUAACUGUGGGGCAUAGUGAGUGGUGCCAGCAUACUUAAAGUCUGAGUGCUCAGUGUGAGUCCUGUAGGCUUUACUCUCUUCCUUUUGUGCUA